rnacentral:rRNA from 1 species
ACAGAUCGUUCAGAGUUUGAUCCUGGCUCAGGAUGAACGCUGGCGGCGUGCUUAACACAUGCAAGUCGAACGGACUAUUCUUCGGAAUAGUUAGUGGCGGACGGGUGAGUAACGCGUGGGUAACCUGCCCCACACUGGGGGAUAACAGUUAGAAAUAGCUGCUAAUACCGCAUAAGCGCACAGUUUCGCAUGAAACGGUGUGAAAAACUCCGGUGGUGUGAGAUGGACCCGCGUCUGAUUAGCUAGUUGGUGAGGUAACGGCUCACCAAGGCGACGAUCAGUAGCCGGCCUGAGAGGGUGAACGGCCACAUUGGGACUGAGACACGGCCCAA